UACGCAGGGGGCUAGCGUUGCUCGGAAUCGCUGGGCGUAAAGGGUGCGUAGGUGGAUUUUUAAGUCAGGGGUGAAAUCCUGGAGCUCAACUCCAGAACUGCCUUUGAUACUGGGAAUCUUGAGUUCGGGAGAGGUGAGUGGAACUGCGAGUGUAGAGGUGAAAUUCGUAGAUAUUCGCAAGAACACCAGUGGCGAAGGCGGCUCACUGGCCCGAUACUGACACUGAGGCACGAAAGCGUGGGGAGCAAACAGG
rnacentral:rRNA from 1 species